rnacentral:rRNA from 1 species
CAGUCGAACGAGUUCUCGUUGAUGAUCGGUGCUUGCACCGAGAUUCAACAUCGAACGAGUGGCGGACGGGUGAGUAACACGUGGGUAACCUGCCCUUAAGUUGGGGAUAACAUUUGGAAACAGAUGCUAAUACCGCAUAGAUCCAAGAACCGCAUGGUUCUUGGCUGAAAGAUGGCGUAAGCUAUCGCUUUUGGAUGGACCCGCGGCGUAUUAGCUAGUUGGUGAGGUAAUGGCUCACCAAGGCGAUGAUACGUAGCCGAACUGAGAGGUUGAUCGGCCACAUUGGGACUGAGACACGGCCCAAACUCCUACGGGAGGCAGCAGUAGGGAAUCUUCCACAAUGGACGCAAGUCUGAUGGAGCAACGCCGCGUGAGUGAAGAAGGCUUUCGGGUCGUAAAACUCUGUUGUUGGAGAAGAAUGGUCGGCAGAGUAACUGUUGCCGGCGUGACGGUAUCCAACCAGAAAGCCACGGCUAACUACGUGCCAGCAGCCGCGGUAAUACGUAGGUGGCAAGCGUUAUCCGGAUUUAUUGGGCGUAAAGCGAGCGCAGGCGGUUUUUUAAGUCUGAUGUGAAAGCCCUCGGCUUAACCGAGGAAGCGCAUCGGAAACUGGGAAACUUGAGUGCAGAAGAGGACAGUGGAACUCCAUGUGUAGCGGUGAAAUGCGUAGAUAUAUGGAAGAACACCAGUGGCGAAGGCGGCUGUCUGGUCUGUAACUGACGCUGAGGCUCGAAAGCAUGGGUAGCGAACAGGAUUAGAUACCCUGGUAGUCCAUGCCGUAAACGAUGAAUGCUAGGUGUU